GACGAACGCUGGCGGCGUGCCUAAUACAUGCAAGUAGAACGCUGAAGGAGGAGCUUGCUUCUCUGGAUGAGUUGCGCACGGGUGAGUAACGCGUAGGGAACCUGCCUGUUAGCGGGGGAUAACACUUGGAAACGCUGGCUAAUACCGCAUAAUAGUAGAUGUUGCAUGACAUUUGCUUAAAAGGUGCAAUUGCAUCACUACCUGAUGGACCUGCGUUGUAUUAUCUAGUUGGUGGGGUAACGGCUCACCAAGGAGACGAUACAUAGCCGACCUGCGAGGGGGAUCGGCCACACUGGGACUGAGACACGGCCCAGACUCCUACGGGAGGCAGCAGGAGGGAAACUUCGGCAAUGGACGGAAGUCCGACCGAGCCACGGCGCGGGAGGGAAGGAGGGUUUCGGAUCGUAAAGCUCCGUUGUAAGAGAAGAACGAGUGUGAGAGUGGAAAGUGCACGCUGUGACGGUACCUUACCAGAAAGGGACGGCUAACUACGUG
rnacentral:rRNA from 1 species